rnacentral:lncRNA from 1 species
GCGGACUCGAGUCGGGGGAUAUUACUAACGGGAAGACGAAGGGUAACGUGGCUGAUUAGAGGAGCACCUCCCGAAGUGCUUGCAGUCUUGCCGUAAACCCCACCUUUAUAGAGUUUGAUUCUGGUGCCAGUCUAACUGCUAGGAACACGUUCAAUAGCCCUGAGCCGGAGUUCAUGUUUAUCACUGUAGGGGCUACAAUGUCAAAGCCGAAGCCAGCUCUAACACUCUGAGAGGCAACGCGCUAUCAGAUGAAAUCGCCCGUCCU